CACCCGCGCGCGCGCCACGGCGCCCUGCCAACCACUCACGGCCGCGCACCCCCAUGGCUUGGCCGCCAGCAGCGCCGCCGCCGGUCUCCACCGUCGCCGCCACAGAGGAGGAGCUCGACCCCGCGCAGCCCGUGCCGAAGUUGCCGCCGCCACCCAGAAGAAGAGAAGCAGAGGAGGAGCCGAGUGGGAGAUGGAAGGAGAAGAGGAGGAGGAGCGCCCGCCGGGGCUUGACAUUGCCGCCGCGCUGGAGGAGAGGAGGAACGCGAGGAGGAGGGGAACACCGCCGCCAGGAGCACGACCUCACAGUCGCCUCGCCGUCCUCGCUGCACCAAGGAGGCUAGGAGCCGACCUUUGCGGUCUUCAGGACGAGUAAUGUGUUGCUUUUCCCCUAACCUGCUAAUUCACUCCGAAUAGUCUUGGUGAUUCUCACGGAGUAAUUGUGACAUGAAGUGCUUGUUCUCGACACACUUGGAUUUGGAUCCAUAAAUGUAGAUGCAUUCGGUUGAUACUUGAGGGCAGGGUAGAAAGAGAAGACAAUUUGCAGAAGUGAAAAAUUGCAUGCAUACGCUCAUGUUCCUUUCAUCCCUAGACUUAGAAAUGUAAUAAUCCUCGAUUCCUUCAAUUUUAUCAUUAGAAGCAAUAGAGGGGUAUUUUUCUUACUGUGUUGCUUGCAAAUUAUUUGUGCAGUGGGUGCGCCGUUUAGAAGAUGGCUCUGUAAAUUUCAUAGAAGGUUGAUUAAAAGAUACCCUUGUUUGCUGCUCUCUCUGCGUUUCAUGCAAAAAAAAAAGGACGCGUGUCGAUCAGCCUUCGAGCCACGGUGCUCCUCUCCGCGCACGGGGCGCGCGCUUUCCUCUCCGCCUAGAGGCGUGCGGGACUGCGGCAAAAUUGGGCCGCAGCGCUCGUGGUGGCUCCCACCUUAUCCCUUCCCCGAUCUCUCUUCUUAUCCAUGACAGCUCCGGUAAGGCUCUUAGCUUCUCAGAUCAAUUUGAUGUCAUUUCUUUGUUGCUUAGUGCUUACUACAGCUCGAAUAAUUUCAGUUGUUAAUCAAUAGGUUCAUGUAUUUCAAUCUGUAACGUUCAUGUACCAUGAGUACACGUCAGUAUCUUCUCAACUUUCUAGCCAUGAGUCCAAAACUUGGUUCAUCAAUAUAUUUAUAAAUAAGAUAUUUACUGCUGCGAAAGACUCAUUUAUCGAAAAUCUUUGAGUUUCAUCUGUUUACAUGUCAUGUGCAUGCAAUUAUGCUAGGUUGCCCCUCCCCCUGCAUCACUUUUAUAGACACAAGUACUUAUGGUUCAUAUCAUGUUCCAUUUGUCAUGAGAUAUCCAGAUUGCAACUUGCUGCAUGUAUACCGGAGAUAAAUGUGUAGACUUUGCUAAAGGAGUGAAAACACAUGUCUAUGUUUUUUUUUUGGUUCAAUUUAUAAAUUUAUAAGAAGCGGAGAAGGGGUGAAAUGGCAUAUUAUAUGCUAUUGAUUUAUCACAACUAUUGUCUGAUUAUAAUAGAAGCAAAUCAACCAAUGGUCAGGUCUACAGUUAGGAUAGUAUUGCUCCGGCGCUUGCAAGCAGAGAAAUUGAGAAAAUAAGAAAAGUGUUUCUACUAUGAUGUGUGUUCGAAAAUGUAACUGAAUUAGAACAUCUCACAUUUCAGUGUGAUUUUCUUUUAUUUCUAAUCUCACAUUCCACUGUAGUUUUCUUUCAUUGUCAUGAUAGGGCGCGUUGUUCAUGUUGUAUAAAUCUGAAGCUCAUUCAUUGUAAAUCUACAGCCACUCCAAUCUGACAAUACUUCAAGUCACUUUUGGUUUCCCAAUCUGUAAGUACUCUCAGUUUCCCAGUCUUGUGACCUUGCGUUUCAUCAUUUAGAAACCAUGUAACCUGAAUGUCUUCAAGUCUAUAAGUAUUAAAAAAACAAGGCAUUAACUGCUACUUUGGAAUGAGCAUAUAUGUACAUAUAUGGUCUGAUUUUCUAGUGGACUCUGUGCUUCUUGAAUUUAAGCAUACGACUACCUAGUUAAUGUCUUUUUUUACAUAGCUUGUUUGUAUCCGUGAUUUUUCUUUGUUUGUAUCUUCAAUCACUAAGUUCCCAUAACUUGUUAGAUAAUAUUUGUGCAACUUAAUUCUUCCGGAAUCUAUGAAAAAUUUAUUUGGGAUUCGUCUUUUGAAUGUAAUUGUGUGUACAUGUGAAGUUUAUGUUUAUGCUUUAAAAUUUAUUGGUGGUUCUUUCUGGUUGCAGGUUGCUACUUUCGAAACAAGGCCGUGGAAGAUUUCUAAUUCAAGUGAAAAGCAUGAAAGUGAAAGCUCUCAUGUUUGAUUCCAGGCCUAACUUUGAUAGUGUCUUUCUAAUCGAGUCCAGUAGAAUGAUUUUGGUACUGUAUAUAGGUUUGUAGCAAAAUAUAUACUGAAAGUGUACUUUGUAACUUGAGAUUGGGCUAUUUGAAUUUUGGAUGUGUCACUAUUGAUACUGAAAGUGUACUUUGUGAUUUGAAA